AAAUUAAUAGAUAAAACUAAACAUGUAGAUCUUGUGGCAGAGUACUAGUGGACGCGGGUUCAAUUCCCGCCGCCUCCACCA
rnacentral:tmRNA from 1 species